CAGAAUCUUGCACCUUUGCAUUAAGGAAAAAUUAAUAACAUGAUAUGGUUCUAUUCUGAGUUCUCAAGAAAAAGAAACUAAAUGAGAUAGAGGGGAAACUGGACAGUUGUACAUAGCAGUCAAUCAUGAAGCUCUUGGACGCCGAGUGAAUAAACCUUAUAGGAGAGAAGUUUAAAGUUAGGAAAGCAAAUAUCUAGGUUUCUGCUAGCCCAAUAAGAUUAUGUGUGGUCUAAGACAGAGACCACAUAUUAAGUUUCUCUUCUGGAACCUGCAGGACCAAGAAUGUUCUGAAAUAAUAGCUCUUUGCUUCUGCUGUGUCCCUAUGUGGAAGAAAAGGAAAGCAUGAUGAAAUGAAGCAAUACUCUCAGCUUGCGAACAAUAAAAGAAAAGCCACCACCAGAUGAUGAAUUGUUACCCAUGUGACAGAUGAAGGUUGUGGAUUCAUCACUAAUCACCCAUAUUAUGUCACUCUCAUCUCUUCCCAUCCUCACUGUAUGGCUAAUAGCUAAUUAGAUAUG